rnacentral:rRNA from 1 species
GGGAAUCUGCCCUUAGGUUCGGAAUAACAGUUAGAAAUGACUGCUAAUACCGGAUGAUGACGUAAGUCCAAAGACUUAUCGCCUAGGGAUGAGCCCGCGUAGGAUUAGCUAGUUGGUGUGGUAAAGGCGCACCAAGGCGACGAUCCUUAGCUGGUCUGAGAGGAUGAUCAGCCACACUGGGACUGAGACACGGCCCAGACUCCUACGGGAGGCAGCAGUGGGGAAUAUUGGACAAUGGGCGCAAGCCUGAUCCAGCAAUGCCGCGUGAGUGAUGAAGGCCUUAGGGUUGUAAAGCUCUUUUACCCGGGAUGAUAAUGACAGUACCGGGAGAAUAAGCCCCGGCUAACUCCGUGCCAGCAGCCGCGGUAAUACGGAGGGGGCUAGCGUUGUUCGGAAUUACUGGGCGUAAAGCGCACGUAGGCGGCUUUGUAAGUUAGAGGUGAAAGCCUGGAGCUCAACUCCAGAACUGCCUUUAAGACUGCAUCGCUUGAAUCCAGGAGAGGUGAGUGGAAUUCCGAGU